AGCCAUUUUUUACAAGUAAAAUGUGAAAUUUUGGUCCAAAUGUGUAUAGCAAUUGUGAAAAUAUUCUCUGACACCCAUCAUUUCCCUAAGAAAAUUAACUUGGACUAAUAUUUGAGGGUAAACACCAAUUACCAUGGAAAAUGCUUAGUGGAAAGGUUCCUUUUGUCUGGAUUCCUCCUGAGUCUGCAUUCUGGGUGCAGAGGCAGGAGAUGUGUUGAAAUUAGGAAGUAUAUAUAACCCAUUUCACCAUGAAAAUCAUGGGAUCCAGGUCCAUAUCGUUCACCUGAAACUUCACUAUGAAAUGGACUCAGGGGGCAAAUAUACAGUAUUUUAAGCCAUGGUCUCUUCCCUAAGCAAAGGUGGCUAGUCAGAUGGAGACUUUGGGAGGAGCUAGGUUUGCUUUUGCAGCCAUAUUCUCUUCUUUUUCUGGAAAUCCAGCUGCCCUUGGGGUACACAUGCUGGUCUCUGAACAAUCAUACUCUUCUGACUUUAUAGUGACUGUGAAGACAGGCAGGCAAUACAGAUGGAUGUAUUCUUCUCCAGGCAUGGAAAACUGUUCAGGUUGUGAUUAACAGAUUCAGCACUGGCAACUUGCACUGGACAGCUCAGAUUCCCAGGCUCUUAGUUAGGUCUGCAGCGAAUACUUAGAGGGAUGUGGAUUCAUUUUCAGACUAAGCACUCAGCGUUGCCCCCAGCUCACAGCUCCGGAGAUGAAAGGUAUCAUUUAGAAAGGGUUCCUUUAGCCUUUGAAGGCUCAAAUGCCUCUGCUCAGCCCUUCCCCCCAAUUUGCUCUGACAUCUGUUUGAGACUAAAAGAUUAUUCAGCUUACAAUGAGAACUUGUAAGUACUAGGACUGUUUUUCUGGAUGAUAUACUUCGUUGCCUUUUAAAAUAAAAGAUGAUGAUUUUCUUAUAAGAGAAAGGAAUUCCUUUGACUUCAGACCUUUGCUUUUUGGAAAAUACCACUAUUUGUCAAUUUGUGGUUUUCGAUAAGCUUCUUGCUUUACAAGAUCUUAGAAAAGUUUUGAACUAUGGUCGAGCAUGCAAUGCACAAUUUUAUCAAAAAACCAGGCAAUAUUAUAUAUUUGGAGCUGGGACAGAGCUUGACUAUUUGACUUGUAACUUUCUUCACUGCCUGGUGUUUAGUUAAGAACAUGAAAUACAGAAAUUGCUUUAUAUUCUUUCAGAGCACACCCAAACUCAUGACCCAAAGCUUUCUGUAGCUUUUUCAUUUUUAAACAGCCCCUUGGUAGGAGAAGUUAACACUGCACCAAACACUUUACCCUACGUGAGAUGAUUGUUUCAUAAUAAAAGGCAUAAUUUGUAUAAAUAU